CGCGGGGUGGAGCAGUUGGAAGCUCGACGGCCUCAUAAGCCGUAGGUCGUAGGUUCAAAUCCUACCUCCGCAACCA
rnacentral:tRNA from 1 species